AUUGAACGCUGGCGGCAGGCCUAACACAUGCAAGUCGAGCGAGAGGCGGACGGGUGAGUAAUGUAUGGGGAUCUGCCCGAUAGAGGGGGAUAACAACUGGAAACGGUGGCUAAUAACGCAUAAUAUCGGAUGAACACAUAUGGGAUUAGCGAGUAGGUGGGGUAAAGGCUCCACUAGGCGACGAUCUCUAGCUGGUCUGAGAGGAUGAUAAGCCACACUGGAACGGAGACACGUCCCAGACUCCUACGGGAGGCAGCAGUGGGGAAUAUUGCACAAUGGGUGCAAGCCUGAUGCAGCCAUGCCGCGUGUAUGAAGAAGGCCUUAGGUUUGUAAAGUACUUUCAGCGGGGAGGCGUUACCCGCAGAAGAAGCACCGGCUAACUCCGUGCCAGCCGCCGCGGUAAUUC
rnacentral:rRNA from 1 species